rnacentral:rRNA from 1 species
GUCGAACGAUGAACCACCUUCGGGUGGGGAUUAGUGGCGAACGGGUGAGUAACACGUGGGCAAUCUGCCCUGCACUCUGGGACAAGCCCUGGAAACGGGGUCUAAUACCGGAUACUGACCCUCGCAGGCAUCUGCGAGGUUCGAAAGCUCCGGCGGUGCAGGAUGAGCCCGCGGCCUAUCAGCUAGUUGGUGAGGUAAUGGCUCACCAAGGCGACGACGGGUAGCCGGCCUGAGAGGGCGACCGGCCACACUGGGACUGAGACACGGCCCAGACUCCUAC